rnacentral:rRNA from 1 species
UAAAUAGUCCGGCCGGCUUUUGCUGGUCGCAGACUUCUUAGAGGGACUGUCAGCGUCUAGCUGACGGAAGUUUGAGGCAAUAACAGGUCUGUGAUGCCCUUAGAUAUCCUGGGCCGCACG